rnacentral:rRNA from 1 species
ACUCCUACGGGAGGCAGCAGUAGGGAAUAUUGGGCAAUGGGCGAGAGCCUGACCCAGCCAUGCCGCGUGCCGGAUGAAGGCCUUCUGGGUUGUAAACGGCUUUUCUCAGGGAAGAAAAAGGGUAUGCGUACCACACUGACGGUACCUGAGGAAUAAGCACCGGCUAACUCCGUGCCAGCAGCCGCGGUAAUACGGAGGGUGCAAGCGU